CCUCCCAGUUGUUGGCACCGUCACACCUCAUUCUGCAUUUACUGUCCCUCUCCAAGCAAUGGCCCACCAAGAUGAGACGGUCUCUUCAAGAGGCUUUCCCUGGAAAUAGGAGAUUGAGGUCAGAAACCCCCAAGGGAAGCUUGGCAGCCUUAGGAGAGACUUCGCCCCUGACACAUCCUUUCCAUGCCCCAAGCUGACAUUUCAGGAAUAACUGCUGACAUCCCUUCAAUCACCAUUGGCUGCUCCGAGCAGCUUCUCAGAGCUGGUUUUCGAUUUUCUUUCACAGUCUUUCUCAGAACUCUGCGAUCCCCAGAGGUUACAAAUCUGUGUUGGGUGCUUUCUCUGCUAAAGAAGAAUUUUCUAAUGGCACAACUGAGGUUUCGAAAAAGUCAGCUUCGAGAAUUUUCCUAAGUACUAAAUCAUGUGCACUGAAAGCAUUGGAAAGAAACCACACCUGCACGAGAAUUUCAAAGCCGGGGGCUCUAUGACUGGCUGGACGCUGGAGCCCUCCUUUAAAGGAUGGAGGCAACUUGGCCAACUGCAUAUUAUUUUCUAUGGCAGUGGCCCCCACUGUUCUCAGGCCAUGAAACUCGGGAACGGAUUGUGGCUGUCACGCAGAAUCAAAGAGAUGGAUUGGCCGUGUUGCUUCAGGACUCAAUCUUCUCAAAGCUUCUGACUCCAGACAGACAGUGCCUCCCCAUUCUGCUGGCUGAGACAGGAGGGGUAUAAGACCAAAAAUCGAAGUGUGUAAGAUCCUGAAUUCCACUGCCUGCCAAGCAACUGAAAGUGCAGUUAUCAUCAGCUGCUUCUCCCUGAUCUAUUUUCCCAUUAAAAAAUAAAGACUUGGAUCCUGCAAGAGCUCUGGGAUCC
rnacentral:lncRNA from 1 species